AGCGAACGCUGGCGGCAGGCUUAACACAUGCAAGUCGAACGCAUCCUUCGGGGUGAGUGGCAGACGGGUGAGUAACACGUGGGAACGUACCCUUCGAUCUGGGAUAACUUCGGGAAACUGGAGCUAAUACCGGAUACGCCCUUUUGGGGAAAGGUUUACUGUAGAAGGAUCGGCCCGCGUCUGAUUAGCUAGUUGGUGGGGUAACGGCCUACCAAGGCGACGAUCAGUAGCUGGUCUGAGAGGAUGAUCAGCCACACUGGGACUGAGACACGGCCCAGACUCCUACGGGAGGCAGCAGUGGGGAAUAUUGGACAAUGGGCGCAAGCCUGAUCCAGCCAUGCCGCGUGAGUGAUGAAGGCCUUAGGGUUGUAAAGCUCUUUUGUCCGGGACGAUAAUGACGGUACCGGAAGAAUAAGCCCCGGCUAACUUCGUG
rnacentral:rRNA from 1 species